rnacentral:rRNA from 1 species
UACGGAAGGCAGCAGUGGGGAAUCUUGCGCAAUGGGCGAAAGCCUGACGCAGCCAUGCCGCGUGAAUGAUGAAGGUCUUAGGAUUGUAAAAUUCUUUCACCGGGGACGAUAAUGACGGUACCCGGAGAAGAAGCCCCGGCUAACUUCGUGCCAGCAGCCGCGGUAAUACGAAGGGGGCUAGCGUUGCUCGGAAUUACUGGGCGUAAAGGGAGCGUAGGCGGACAUUUAAGUCAGGGGUGAAAUCCCGGGGCUCAACCUCGGAAUUGCCUUUUGAUACUGGGUGUCUUGAGUAUGAGAGAGGUGUGUGGAACUCCGAGUGUAGAGGUGAAAUUCGUAGAUAUUCGGAAGAACACCAGUGGCGAAGGCGACACACUGGCUCAUUACUGACGCUGAGGCUCGAAAGCGUGGGGAGCAAACAGGGAUUAGAUACC